UAAUGAAAGGUAGAAACUUUAAUAAAUUAAAGAAUGUAUGUUUGGUGCUUUUGAGCUCAACAAAGAUAAGAUAAAUUAAACUAAUUCCCUGUCAGGUAAUUAGUUUGUGUUUGAUGUAUCUGCCUUUACUGUGUGACUUCCUUUUACCAUCAUGCUUCGUUCAACUACUUUACUUUAUCAAGAUCGAUUAGAAAAGGAUUAAAUUUUGUUUUCCCUUUCCAAUUGAUAACUUUUGAAUUGGUCAUGACUUUUGCAACUGCUUCUAAGAUUCUGUUCAACUGCCUUCUUCUUAAAGAAUUGGACGCUCUGUAGUUGUGGGCGAAGUAAUACUGAUGACCUACUUGCACAAGAAGCACAAUGAAAAGGGAAAUACAUAAUUAAUAUAAGACAGUUCUAUAGUGCUAUAGUGAAAAUGUACUAUUAUUAAAGGUUAAAACAAAAUAAUAAUCUUAAAAUUACCAACUUGUGUUGGAAAGCUUGCAAUGCUCCCCUUUGAUGGAUCAAAUCAAGCUCGAUUAUUAUAAGUUAAAGGUAAUAAUCUGCAGCCAAAUGUGAUGGAUAUAGUUUCCCAUUAGAUGUGUAAUGGGCAUUUUUCUUGCAGGGGAAUGGUUGGCUGAUCAAGAACCGGACAAGUAAUAUAUAUUAUGUGACUUCCUUUUCCCUAGAACAUAAAUAAAUAAAGGAAAUAAUGUCUUCUAGUUUUAAGUCUGAAAUUUAUUUCUUGUUUUUAUUUUUGAUUUCUCUUGCAUGGCAUAAUGUUUUAUGCUUGAUUUUUCUGUUGGAGCAGUUCAUGCUAUCCGAUGGUUUUGGAAGAAGAGAAAUAAAAUACCAAAAUGAAAUCUUUCAUUUUAAAACUUCAUUCUUCUUGCAUUUAUAGUCUCCAGCUUUUCUUGGUGUUUAGAACAAAAGUGAAAAACUAGUUCAGCAAGUCUAUCAUUGGAUUAAGGUAUUAUUAAUUUUCCCACUGUUUAAAACUGUUAAAAGAUAACGGAUUUUAUCCUUCCACAAUCAGGAUUCAUUGUCUGGUUGACAAUCAGAAACUGAGAUUGAAGCGGCAGAUAUUGAAUACUAUUUUAGGUACCUUAAUAUCUGUAAGGUAUUUUUUUUCAGGCAGUUAAUAAAUUAAAUUGUUUCUGCUGCAGCGUGGAUGAUCUCUGUAAGGAUAUUUUUCUUCGUGGCAAGAUGGAUGAUCAAGGUUGGGUUCCCGUCUCAUUGAUUGCUACCUUUAACAUGGUCAAAAGGGUGACCACGAGCAUAGCGGUGAUAUUGAAUGUUCUAAGAGAUUCGACAGAACUUGAAAUACAGAGGAAAUUAGAAGACGAGAGGAUUGGAUGAGAUGGUUACUGCCCUCGAUGGAAAAUCCAAAUGGUCAUGGUUCCACACCUCACUUGACAUUGAACCAUGAUGAUUCAGUCAUCCACCCCAUGCAGACUCUCGGAUUAGAGGAAUAUUCCAGCCAGGCCACCAUGAGUUGUACUCAAACUGAGGUAGCACUUGAUAGGGGAUCAACAUCUUGUAGCUGCAACUGCCAGCAGGGUAGAGAUCCAGCUCAACUAGAAGAACUUUACCACAGUGGUUCAAAUCAUGAAAUAGGCAGUGACUGAAUCAUCAUGAAAUAGUCGUUUGGCUAUCGUUCAUUAGUUGUAAAUAGAGUUUAUUUAUUUAUUUGUAUUGGGAUAAAUUUUAUUUGAACAUGAGAUAUGUUUCUUCUUUUGUGAUUGUAAUUCUUGUAUAACUAACAUUUUGAAUGAUAUUGAU